CGCCUCCCGACAAAAUAUGAGAGGUCCAGCCUGCCCAGUGACAAAGUUAAACGGCCGCGGUACCCUAACCGUGCGAAGGUAGCGCAAUCACUUGUUCUUUAAAUGAGGACUAGUAUGAACGGCAUCACGAGGGUUAUACUGUCUCCCCCAUUCAAUCAGUGAAACUGACCUCCCCGUGAAGAGGCGGGGAUAAAAUUAUAAGACGAGAAGACCCCAUGGAGCUUUAAACUCAACACCAACUAUUCUAUCAAAUAUCAUACAAGCUGAAUAGACCUGGCUGUUAGUUUUCGGUUGGGGUGACCGCGGAGUAAAACAAAACCUCCACGAUGAAAGGACCAAACCUCCUAAUCAUAGAGCGACAGCUCAAAGAAUCAAUAAAUUGACAAAAAUUGAUCCAAUUCAAUUUGAUCAACGAACCAAGUUACCCUGGGGAUAACAGCGCAAUCCACUUCAAGAGCCCCUAUCGACAAGUGGGUUUACGACCUCGAUGUUGGAUCAGGGUAUCCCAGUGGUGCAGCCGCUACUAACGGUUCGUUUGUUCAACGAUUAAAACCCU
rnacentral:rRNA from 1 species